CACCCCUAUGGUUUCACACAUUCUCAGUUUAGUAGCUUGUGGUUUAAAGUGUAUCAAGUUAGUGUCCUAUGGUUUCAUUUUUAUCUUUUCGUCAGCAUUUUCGUUAAUAUUUUGUUAAAUUAUAUACAAAAAAUAUCAGAUACCCUACCUAGAUUUAUCGAUCGAAUAUUCAUUUUAGUACACUUUAGUUUUAACUUUGUCACUGAUUUAACGAAAAAAAUUAGUAAAAUCGAUAAUAAAAAGAAAAAAAUGAAAAUUUUAGUUUUUUUUUUUUCAAGAUAUAGAGGCGAAGCGGUUAUAACAACCGCCUCUUGACAA
rnacentral:lncRNA from 1 species